CCUCCCUUUUCGCCCAGAAAUCUCUCGUUCUCCCUCAUCUUUCACUCGCAAAAACAAAAAAAACAAAAAAAACAAACAACAACAAUAACAAGAAACCUGCGAUCUCUCUCCUUGAUUUCACGAUCCAUCACAACCAUCAGCAAAUUCAAGACAAAGAAAAUAAAGCAAUGUUCAAAGAAACGUGCCCAGAUCCCACACGAAUGAGCAAUCUCAACGUCGAUGUCAAAUGGGUGUUCGGAUGUAUGAGAAAUCAAAGAGGGAACCUAAAUCGAUUCCGACCGAUACGUUCAAACAAGCGGCAUAAAGAUUGUGUAUGAGGAUUUGGUACAAACGACAUUGAUUCCUCUUUACGACUAUUCGGUCUCCCUUACAAAUCCAAUAAAAUCAAACGUUUAUGAUUGUGCUAGGAUCAUCCCGACUGGAAAAGCAAAAUGAAGCGGUUUAAGGCAAAUAGCAGUACAAAACAGAAGCAUCAUGAAUAAAGAUUGUGCAACAUCACCUUAGCACCAUGGAGUUCUAGCUAGCUAGCAUCUCCUCAGGGCCUUUCAUCAGUGAGCACAAAAAGAUCUCAGCCAUGGUAUUUGGAAAGAAUGACAACAAGAAAUGCAUAAGCAGACAAUAACAAUAAACAAGCAACUUUAUAUUACAUUCAACUCUAAUCUACUAUGCUAUUUGGUUUUUGUGUCUUCAGCAGAACAAUAAGGUAUUGCGGAUAAAACUUGUAUACCUUGUCUUUCUGGUUUGUUCAGUUUGCUGAAUCUUCUUCCUCUAGCUCUGUAUGUUUGGUCGAAUGCAGGGGUUUAGGCUCAAUCAAAAAAGAGUUUCAGUGUGAAACUCUAUUGAUUCAUUGAGAGUGGAGAGCCUUUGGUGCAGUGAGUGAAGAGUUUUCUGAGUUUUUUGUGGUGGCUGCCGAUCUCCCAUUGAAUGAAACAUUAUGCUUUUUGUAGUGUGCAGGUUCGGUUUAGAUUUUAGGUUAGGAUGAAUUCAAACUUGGUUUGGAAUUAUGAAGGGAAAGAUAGCAGGUGGACUUUUAUGUGACAGUUUGUGUUUUUUCCAUUUUCUUGCUACUUCUCUGUUUUUGUCAUCUUGUGCACUUCACACUUUUUCUGAUUUUUGUAUUUGAAUUUGGGCUGCAAAUGAGCUUAAUGGGCCUGUUAUGAAAUUUGAAUUUGAAUUAACCUGAUUUUUCGUCUUGCUUGGCAGAUUUGGUAGACUUUUGUUGCUUGCAAGAGAAAACACAUGAUAGAUAAUGGACACCCUCAAGAUAAAUUUGGCAAAGACCCUUUGGAGUGAAACUUCAGCUUGAAUUCCUUUAGGUUUCAAGUAAAUUGUAAAGACCUGUGGCUUGUUGUAUCUUGUAACAUUUAAGAAUUUUGCAGCAACUUUGUAAUAAUUUGUCGCCGGUUGAAUGUAAUUAAUUUGAUCCACUA